UACGGGGGGAGCAAGCGUUGUUCGGAUUUACUGGGCGUAAAGGGCGCGUAGGCGGCGCAACAAGUCACUUGUGAAAUCUCCGGGCUUAACCCGGAGCGGCCAAGUGAUACUGUCGUGCUAGAGUGCGGAAGGGGCUACUGGAAUUCUCGGUGUAGUGGUGAAAUGCGUAGAUAUCGGGAGGAACACCAGUGGCGAAGGCGACUACCUGGCCUGUUCUUGACGCUGAGGCGCGAAAGCUAGGGGAGCAAACGGG
rnacentral:rRNA from 1 species